GGUAAUUCAUGAAACCCUACCACACCAUAUCCCUCUCCGCUCCCUCCCUCCGGUCGGAUCGACCUCCGCUGAUCCGCGACCGAGAUGCUAUGCUAUGCUAUGCUCGCCGCCGCCGCUUUGCAUUGGCGCCCGCCCUAGCUUUGCCUUCCUUCUCGGGCAAAUGGUAGAUCCGGCCCGGAUCUGGACGGAAUCGGGGGACCGAAUUAACCGCGUCGCUGUCUCGUGUGUGCCUAGUGGCGACGCGGGCCCGCCCGGUCGGCGCUUAUCGUCUCGGUUGACCAUUUCGCGGCAAUGGCAUCCUCGCCGCCGCCGUUCUAGGUCUUCUUUAUCAUUAUGUCGCGAUCGCGUCCUCUGCUACUUGUCGGAUGCAGCUAAACUAGUAGUACCACUACGACUUCGUGUAAACAAAUCUUAGUUGUUUGACCGCACACGCUGAGUGAGUUCGGUUUAGGUUUAGUUAAGUUCAUGUGGAGAUUCCCCUCCUGGGGGCUGGAAAUUCGGCACGGGAAAAUCCUGUGGAAUGUUUCGUUGGUAGGGGGUAAUAUAACGAUGAAGUAAGUGUACUGGUGCUUGUAAGAUUUCAAGUAGUUAUGUGAUCCAGCUUUAGAUGGUCUGGCUGCUUAGUUGAAUGAAUAUCUUGUUUUGGCUCCCCAUACUCUAGUAAUUUAUGUCUCUGUACUGGUAGGUUCGAUCCGAUAAUAUUUUACUGUCCUGAAUUACUGAUGUUCUCUUAUUAGUCAUGUAAUGUUAAAAGUCGAACUGUGUAGGGACUUUCCUGGUUUCAACGUUUUGCAGCAAAGUUAUGGUUGCAGUAAUUCAUGUCGAUGUAAUUCCGUGAACUUCUUACUCAGGCGGCUUAUAAUCUGAAUAAGUACCUGAUAACUUUACUUGUGCAAGAUAUUCUCAGUGGUUUCGGUUUAGCAUUUUAGUGCCCUGCGUGGACAUUCGCUAAUCCCUUUCGUACUAGUUUACACCUUAUGCAUUAUUGGGAGUAAGCAACAAUCUAUUUCCUUCUCUGUUUAUUCUGUAACUCAGUCGCCCCUAAUUAGAUGCAUGAUAAUGAAUAAAAGUUGUUAUCUAUGAUCUAUCCAUGUUUUUAAGAAGAUUUACUCUGUUAUAAGCACAGUUCGAGUUCCUGUGUUUGAUUCCGGAAUUGUCUUUGUGUGUCUAUUACAGGUUGCAUCACAACCAAGGAGUUGGGAACUGUCAUGCGUUCGCUUGGCCAGAACCCAACGGAGGCUGAGCUCCAGGACAUGAUCAAUGAGGUUGAUGCUGAUGGCAACGGCACCAUUGAUUUUCCAGAGUUUCUCAACCUGAUGGCUCGCAAGAUGAAGGACACUGACUCAGAGGAAGAGCUCAAGGAGGCCUUCAGGGUGUUCGACAAGGAUCAAAAUGGCUUCAUCUCUGCUGCUGAGCUCCGUCAUGUCAUGACGAAUCUCGGCGAGAAGCUAACUGACGAGGAGGUGGACGAGAUGAUCCGUGAAGCUGAUGUUGAUGGUGAUGGCCAGAUCAACUACGAGGAGUUUGUCAAGGUCAUGAUGGCCAAAUGAGCCAUUCUCCGAAGGCUGAGGAGAUUGUGCAUUGCACAUUAGUUAAGAUGCAACUCUUAUUUCAUCGAUUUCCAGUGAAGCAUCCUACUAGCUGUAGCUGCUAAAAUGGACGGACGUGUUUCCUGCUAUGUUCCCCUCUCCAGUGUGUUUUCAGAUCUCUUGUGUUUUGUGUGAACUUGCCCUCUCUGGUGUAUCCUGAUUGCAGUUGGACCCAUUUGUAGUAUAUUUUGUCAUCAACUUCUGCUUGACUCUUCUAGUAUCA
rnacentral:lncRNA from 1 species